rnacentral:rRNA from 1 species
UACGUAGGGUGCAAGCGUUGUCCGGAAUUAUUGGGCGUAAAGAGCUCGUAGGCGGUUCGUCGCGUCGGCUGUGAAAUCCCGGAGCUCAACUCCGGGUCUGCAGUCGAUACGGGCGGACUUGAGGGCCACAGAGGGACAUGGAACUCCAGGUGUAGUGGUGAAAUGCGUAGAUAUCUGGAAGAACACCAAAGGCGAAGGCAGUGUCCUGGGUGGUCGCUGACGCUGAGAGGCGAAAGCCAGGGGAGCGAACGGG